rnacentral:rRNA from 1 species
UACAGAGGUCCCAAGCGUUGUUCGGAAUUACUGGGCGUAAAGGGCUCGUAGGUGGCCAACUAAGUCAGACGUGAAAUCCCUCGGCUUAACCGGGGAACUGCGUCUGAUACUGGAUGGCUAGAGAUUGGGAGAGGGAUGCGGAAUUCCAGGUGUAGCGGUGAAAUGCGCAGAUAUCAGGAGGAACACCGGUGGCGAAGGCGGUUCUCUGGGCAUUACCUGACGCUGAGGAGCGAAAGUGUGGGGAGCGAACAGG